rnacentral:rRNA from 1 species
GCCGAGGACAAGCUUAUUUGUGAGUGUUGGAGAGAUAUUGGGCAAGACCCGAAGACGGGCACCGAACAAAAGCAUUCAACUUUUUGGAUUCGUGUCCACCAUGAGUUCCAUGAGCGCAAUAAGUUUUCGCCGUACCAAAUAGUAAGAACACGCGGGUAGGUGUCCAUUUCAAAGCAAUGGAGGGUGAUCCAACAAGAGUGAAACAAGUUUUGUGCCACUCUUGAGAGCGUCAAGGCCCACCCCGUGAGCGGCAUCGGCAUGCAAGACAUGGUAUGCUAG